GGCCCGGUAGUUCAGUUGGUUAGAAUGCCGCCCUGUCACGGCGGAGAUCAUGGGUUCAAGUCCCAUUCGGGUCGCCA
rnacentral:tRNA from 2 species